GAUGAACGCUGGCGGCGUGCCUAAUACAUGCAAGUCGAGCGGACAAAUCAAGAUGUUGCCUCUUUUUCGUUAGCGGCGGACGGGGGAGUAACACGUGGGCAACCCUGCCUGUAGACGGGGAUAACCCUGUGAAAACGGUGGCAAAUACCGAAUACACCUUAUGUUCCAAGGCGUCUCAUUUAAAGACGGCUUCAGCUGCCGCUACAGCAUGGGCCCGCGUCGCAUUAGUUAGUUGGUGGGGUAACGGCUCCCCAAGCCGACGAUGCUUAGCCGACCUGAGAGAGUGAUCGGCCACACUGGGACUGAGACACGGCCCAGACUCCUACGGGAGGCAGCAGUAGGGAAUCUUCCACAAUGGGCGAAAGUCUGACGGAGCAACGCCGCGUGUGUGAAGAAGGCCUUCGGGUCGUAAAGCACUGUUGUAAGGGAAGAACAGGUAACGCAGUAAAUGGCGUUAGCUUGACGGUACCUAACGAGAAAGCGACGGCUAACUACGUG
rnacentral:rRNA from 1 species